rnacentral:rRNA from 1 species
CGUGAACGCUGGCGGUAGGCCUAACACAUGCAAGUCGAACGGCAGCACAGUAAGAGCUUGCUCUUACGGGUGGCGAGUGGCGGACGGGUGAGGAAUACAUCGGAAUCUACUUUUUCGUGGGGGAUAAAGUAGGGAAACUUACGCGAAUACCGCAUACGACCUACGGGUGAAAUCAGGGGAUCUUCGGACCUUUCGCGAUUGAAUGAGCCGAUGUCGGAUUAGCUAGGUGUCGGGGUAAAGGCACACCAAGGCGACGACCCGUAGCCGGUCUGAGAGGGGGAACGGCAACAUUGGGAAUGAGAUACGGCCAAGACUCCGACGUGAGGCAGCAGUGGGGAAGAUUGCACAAUGGGCGCAUGCGGGAUGCAGCGACGCCGCGUGGGGGAUGACGGCCUUCGGGUCGUAAACUCAGUUCAGCCAUGACGAAGCCCUUGUGGUGACGGUAGUGGUAGAAGAAGCACCGGCUAACUACGUG